UACGAGGGGGGCAAAUGUUGUUCGGAAUCACUGGGCGUAAAGGGAGCGUAGGCGGGUUCUUAAGUUAGGUGUUUAAUCCCGGGGCCCAACCCCGGACCGGCACCUAAAACUGGGAGUCUUGAAUAGUGGAGAGGUCGGUGGAAUUGGGGGUGUAGCGGUGGAAUGCGUAGAGAUCCCCAAGAACACCAGUUGCGAAGGCGGCCGACUGGACACAUAUUGACGCUGAGGCUCGAAAGCAUGGGGAGCAAACAGG
rnacentral:rRNA from 1 species